rnacentral:rRNA from 1 species
UAUCUUUAACUUCAAA